rnacentral:rRNA from 1 species
UACGAAGGGGGCGAGCGUUGUUCGGAUUUACUGGGCGUAAAGCGCACGUAGGCGGACUAUUAAGUCAGGGGUGAAAUCCCGGGGCUCAACCCCGGAACUGCCUUUGAUACUGGUAAUCUUGAGUUCGAGAGAGGUGAGUGGAAUUCCGAGUGUAGAGGUGAAAUUCGUAGAUAUUCGGAGGAACACCAGUGGCGAAGGCGGCUCACUGGCUCGAUACUGACGCUGAGGUGCGAAAGCGUGGGGAGCAAACAGG